rnacentral:rRNA from 1 species
GAUGAACGCUGGCGGCGUGCCUAAUACAUGCAAGUCGAGCGAACAGACGAGGAGCUUGCUCCUCUGACGUUAGCGGCGGACGGGUGAGUAACACGUGGAUAACCUACCUAUAAGACUGGGAUAACUUCGGGAAACCGGAGCUAAUACCGGAUAAUAUAUUGAACCGCAUGGUUCAAUAGUGAAAGACGGUUUUGCUGUCACUUAUCGAUGGAUCCGCGCCGCAUUAGCUAGUUGGUAAGGUAACGGCUUACCAAGGCGACGAUGCGUAGCCGACCUGCGAGGGUGAUCGGCCACCCGGGAAGGGAGACACGCUCCAGGCUCCUACGGGAGGCAGCAGUAGGGAAUCUUCCGCAAUGGGCGAAAGCCUGACGGAGCAACGCCGCGUGAGUGAUGAAGGUCUUCGGAUCGUAAAACUCUGUUAUUAGGGAAGAACAAAUGUGUAAGUAACUAUGCACGUCUUGACGGUACCUAAUCAGAAAGCCACGGCUAACUACGUG